UGACAACAAAUUGCCCAAUCCACUUAGACCGUAACUUACCAGGGAACAAUCGUAGACAGGAAUUGAAUAGUAGCACUUUCUGUCCAAUUGAGAAUGUUUUUCACCGAAUCAUUUUAUCAUGAAACGCCUUUGUUUUCUCUUUGUAAAUUCAUGCAUUCUCAUAGGCUUCAUUCCGUAUCUCCUUAAGUUCAUUCAAUUGGAGCUUCUUAUUCAUUCCAGCAGUAUCUAAGUCCAAAU
rnacentral:lncRNA from 1 species